rnacentral:lncRNA from 1 species
AACUUCAGAAAACCUAUGAGGAAAUUUAUCACAGGUAAUUGGUAAGUAUAAAAUAUCUGCAUAAAGUUAAAAAAAAAAGAAAUAUAUAUUUAUGUGUGAAAAUGGGUGGAGAACCACCAUGUCUAGGCUAGUGACUCAGGUGCACAUUCCAGAGCUCUGAGCUCAGCUCUGUGAGGUCACUGGACAAUGGACUGCUUUGUCAGCUCAGUGAGAGGGGUCUGGUUAGAGCACAGAGCUGCUGCUCUGACCCAGUCAACAUCCCCUUUCCGCAUUCCCAUCAGGACUGGGCUGACCAGCAUACAAACUGUGGCCACAGCCUGUUUCCAGAACAGCUUUGAAGACUGAAUCACUCCAUGUAGAAGAAGAGCAAUGCCAAGAAGAACCUGAAGGAUUCCUUCUGCAGGCAGGCACGAUCUAUGACUGGUUCCCCAGUGAUCUCACCCUCUCUGAACCCUGGUAGCACUUUACAGUCUGUACCAUUCAUUUGACACUUAGCCCUCUAUACUGCCUUAUAAUGUUUUAUUUUAUGUGUAGGUGUUUGCUCUUCCCAGUCCGACUGUAAGCCUGUUGCAGGCAAGAACAUGCCUUACUUUUGUAUCCCCAAAGGCCUUGUGCUAGAGAGUAAGCAAUUAAUAAAUGCUUGUUGAUGAUAUUUAUGAUGAUGACCAGGUGAUCUCCAUUAUGAUUACUCUAAAUCUCUCUGUGGAAUCUCUCUUAUGCCAAAAUUGAUAGGAAAAAAAGUACAGCCACAGGGAAGCUACCCCAUAAAUUCAGACAGUGAUGAUUACUGCUGUGAGGGUUGACAUGGAAAAGAAUUCUGGCUUUGGAGGACUUUAAAAAAAACUCCUAAAUACAAAUAAAAAGAAAUAAAAAGAGAGAGAGAGAAAGAGAGAGGGAGGAAAAAAAAGAGAGAGAAAAAGAAAGAAAAUAGAAAGAAGGAAAGAAAGAAAAGAAAGGAAGGAAGGAAUGAAAAAAUAUGGAAGGAAGUAUUAAUAGUUGGUUGAGAUGUAGUACUCAACUAAGAAUAUUAAUGGAUCUAAAAAUCAUUCUAAAUAAUCUUUUUUUGUGUGUGUGUAUGUGUGUACCUAUAUGUCUCUAUAUAUUAAGAAUUGGUCAACAUCCUGUCUUCACUUCUAAACUUAAUUUUAUGGAAAGGUUAUAUUGUCUUCAUUAACUUUUGUUUUUAGGUAGAGUUCCCAUAUAGGGUGUUGUCAGUAGCUGAUCACUAACCCCGCCCACCCCCCAAUCCUACCUGAAUCUAAAUGCCCUUUCCUAGACACCACUCCCGUCUGUGUAUUGUUUCCUCCAUUAGAAUGCAAACCCUUUGAUAGCCUGGACUCUCUUUGCUUUUAUAUUUCUAGAAAUAGUCAGUCAAUAAAUAUUUAUUAGAUAUCUGGGUUUAGAGCUUG